rnacentral:rRNA from 1 species
AGCGAACGCUGGCGGCAGGCCUAACACAUGCAAGUCGAACGGACCCUUCGGGGUUAGUGGCGGACGGGUGAGUAACACGUGGGAACGUGCCUUUAGGUUCGGAAUAGCUCCUGGAAACGGGUGGUAAUGCCGAAUGUGCCCUUCGGGGAAAGAUUUAUCGCCUUUAGAGCGGCCCGCGUCUGAUUAGCUAGUUGGUGGGGUAAUGGCCCACCAAGGCUACGAUCAGUAGCUGGUCUGAGAGGAUGACCAGCCACAUUGGGACUGAGACACGGCCCAAACUCCUACGGAGGCAGCAGUGGGGAAUCUUGCGCAAUGGGCGAAAGCCUGACGCAGCCAUGCCGCGUGUAUGAUGAAGGUCUUAGGAUUGUAAAAUACUUUCACCGGUGAAGAUAAUGACUGUAGCCGGAGAAGAAGCCCCGGCUAACUUCGUGCCAGCAGCCGCGGUAAU